UUUUGGCUUACCUGGAGUAAACAAGUGCCCACAACAGGGUGGUUAUUGCCCAAAGCAAUACUUCCCAAACCAGUGCAGAUUGUAGGAGCAUCCAGUUGUUGCUGCCUGCUCAGUGCUGGGAUCUCUGCUCCAGAAAUAUCUGGGAAAAGGUCUGUUCUUGUCUUGCUCUGUGGCCUCAGGCAGGUUAAGUUGUACAUCUCUCCAUACAAAUCCUGCAAGGGUGCAGGGUGUAAUGCCCCUGAUUUUUCUCAACUGCUGUAGAAACAUGCUUUCUAACAACACAGGGAGGAAAAGUAACAGCACUGUUGUUACAGGUUCCCCUGAAACCACCUUUUUGUUCCCAUCCUGCAGAAGGACCCCCCUUGCCUUAGGCACCUCCUUUCAGAGCUGAUGUACCUGCCAAGCAGGAGUUACACGGAAUAAAACUGAUUCCUGUGGCUUGAGGUGCAUCAAAAAACCACUUUGCACUCAAAAGAAGCCACAAAUCUGGCAGGAGCAUGAGGCCACCACCAAAACUGGGUGUUACACGAUACCUUAUUCCACUUGGGAAGAGCUGGCUGUUUCUAUGGCUACUGCUGCCUUUCUCUCCAACACACCAACCAUUGGUUCUGAUGAGAUCAUAUUGUAUUAUAGAAAAAAAAAAUCACUCACAUACUGCUUUACACUGCAGCAUUUGUUGAGCUACUAUAUAUCUGACUUCCUAUAAUAAAGACAUUUUCCAUUUAAUGUAUUCUUGUAAACGGGUAGGAUUUCCCUCAUCUCUGAUUUAUAAAUGCAUCCAUUUUGGCCUCGAAAAUCCUGGUUCUGGUUUCCAUGACAACAGGCUUGAUUUUUGAGGCUAUUUCUUCCCCUUACUUCAUCUUGGGUGGGAAGAGUUUCUGUCCCCUUCCAGUAGCAGUGCAAUGGGCAAGCAAAAUGGUUGCCUUGAAGGAGAAUGAGCAGACCUGAAACCAGAAACUUCAGCCAGCUUUUUUAAACACAGGUGAGAAAUGCAUCAGAAGAAUGGCACCACAAACCCAGCACACGCUUGAGUCAGAUUUUUUGUACACAGAAAGUCAAAUGCACAUAUAAUCCCAGGAAAUUUUAGUCAUGUACCCCCCUGUCAGGUAUUUAACAAACUGAUCUGGUAAUCCUGAAUAGCACUGUGUUGGCACAUGACAAAAUAAUCAGAGGAUCUCGCCAGUCUGUUCAUGUUGUAACCCUGUAGAUUAAUUAGUACUGAAUGCACUUUAUUAUUUGAAAUACACUCUCACUGUCUCUAUUUUUUCCCUCAGUCCAUCCCAUCUACAGUACUGGACUGCCAGGACUGUCUCUUUCAUAGGUCAUUCACAGCUAAACCAUAUUCUUUCAAUGUGGAACAGUGCAUUUGAGACUCUGGGUACUAAAGGUACCAUAAAUAAUCCAUAACUGCUUUGCAAGGAUCUUUCUAGUGGGUUUUUUCGCUUUUAACAUUUCCAGGAAAAAUGAAGAUAGACAGCUGCUGGUACUCCAUGGCUGAAGUGGUUUAGCAAUUGCUCUUCUAAAAUGAUAAAAAGGUGGUUUUUGCAAACUCCUCAGAAAAUCCCUGGAGAGGGCCUUUGUUCCUUUUUCCUGCAGAGAAGAAACACAACUUACCUACAUCCUUCUGGGUAAUAAGUACCUUCAAAUGUGCCAUCCACUAAGGUUGCAGAUGAAAUGUCUCUCUUUGGCUUGUCAUAGAGUUUUCUUACUUUCUGUGAGUGAAAGAUAUUAUGGAACCACAGUGUCUAAGGUAUCAUUGCAUUAUGGCAUUAUAAUCUCAUUUGCAUUUGAGCUGGGAGCAGCCUGAUAAAGCUGUUCCUUAAACUAGUACAGGAUUGCUCCCAGUGUUUAAUCCGAAUGCUGGAGCUGCCAGUCCAUCUUUUGGAGCAGAAGAUUCAAGUGUAGGUCAGGUAUUCUGCACUAUGACAGAAGGCAGGAGUACCUCAUUUAGGCAUGUUUUAUCCACAGUGUUGUAACCUGCCAGUAAUUUACAUUAGAGGCUGGCCUGUGACCCCCAAACAAAGCACAGUCCCCACCUGUGCAGCCCCUGACACAUCUCAGGGUAGAAUGAGAUUAUCACUGAAAGCCAAGCAGAGUUCAGAGUGAAUCAAUAUCAGGCACAACACAAAAGUGAUUCAGUGAUUGCCUUAAAUAACCACAGGUUUUCCCUUCUGUCAUGACUAAACCAUCCUGCCCUAACAGCCAGUCCCUUGGGGACAAUGAAGUCACAGCAGCACAAUUUCAGCUGUGCAGCCAACUGGAGACAAUAUGAGCACCCUUGUCUUCUCUGCCCUACCAUGGCAUGGAGGGGAUUAAAAAGUGAGUCAUUGGCUGGAAAAAGUACUGGUCCUGUGGCAGUAGGAUGAGUCUUAAAAAAGCUCUUGCAUUCUGUAAAGGUUAAUUGUAAGAGUGGUGAAGCAGGAAGACACGACUGAAAACAGUGAAACCUAUGCAUUGUGUACUGUUAACUUCUCAGAUAUUAACGUUUCCUUCUCUAAAAUGCUCUCACACUUAAAACACUUCAGUGGAUUUAUAACCCAGGACAAUGAAAAAAAAUACAAUUUUUACUUGUUUGGGUUUGUCCUCAUUUCAUGUGAUAUUGUACCACACAAGAGUAUUGUGUUGAAAUCCUAAAUGUUGUUUGUAGUACUGCCUGAAAGUUCCUCCAAAUAGUUAAUUGAUUCUUGCUUUUCAUGUAGCCCAGAGCAAGUUUAGAGGAAAUAAAUGUAACAUGAGUUAGUCAUCCUUAAAUAAUCUCAAAGCAGGGAGCCCUACAUUAACAGCAGGCUGAUAAUAAGCUGUGUAGUGCUAUCUCCAGCAAAGCUUUGCCCAUGACUUCAAAUAAAUUUACGAGCUGUCA